GAGAGAUCCCCCGCUUCACGAUUCUCCCCUGGAAACCCCAGCUGCUGGCUAGACCGAGCGGUUACUCGGGCAGCCUGCUCGCACACCGUAAUGGCGCUCCCUGCAUCUAAGGCUACCAUAAUCCACAAAGAAGGGACGCGACGAGGCGAGGCGCUGCACGGCAUGGUGAGAACGUGUCCGACGGCGGAGACGGAAGGACCUUCAUUUAAGAAAAUCUUUGGCUUCUACCCUGAGAAAAACGGGAGAACUUGUCUCGCGGACAAACCGCCGUUUAACUGACGGAGAGGGGGAUGGGAACGCUGUGGGAAUCCAUGAAGAAUGGCUGUAUUUGCUUGAUGCCUCUUAUAUCGGCGAUCGCGGCAUACGUCUGGGAAUAAUGAACGGUUGCAUUAUUCGUGUUUAUCCAAUCGAGUCAGGUAAGUUUUUUGGGACAAUUUAUUUUUUCUCCCUCACAUUUCCCUUAGCCAUCUGUUAGUCUACGAAAACAACGUGCGUUGGAGAGGCUUAAAAUAGAAUGUACAUCAACUAUAGGCCUAAAAAUAGGCUCAACAAAACAAAAAACAAAAGCGGACCUAAAUAAAUUCAUACAUGUUUGUUUUAUUUUAAAUUAGAAGAAAAAUAUAACGCUAUUUAAAAUCGUGUAGCCUAACGUUAUUUAAAAACUGAAAUAAUUAGGGCCUUAUUUUAAUUAAUUUAGCAAUUGUUUUUAUUUAUUAUUAUUAUUUUUAUUUAGUUAUAGUUAAAUUAUACUUUACUGAAAUAUUAAGCUUUGCAAGGAAACACACACUUUUCUGUCCUUUUUCCAUUCUCCCAUAUAAUCUUGAUUUUAAAUAUAUCGACUAAAAUUAGGCUAUAUUUUUUGAACCACUACAAUUAAUACAAUUAUUAUAAAGCCUUUAUCUAAAGCUUGAAAAGUGGUAGUUUGUAGUCGUAGUAAUUUACUCGGACAUAAAGCAACGGCGCAUUCAAGGCGUAAAAUCCACACCAAUAAAAACCUAAAAUCGAUGAAACGGGC
ensembl:lncRNA